rnacentral:lncRNA from 1 species
GGAUUUGCUGCUCUGAGAAUAAUAUCCUCACCUGGCUGAAGGAAGACAGACCUAGGCUGGACAAGAACGGGUCCCCUAAGACUCCUCCCAACUGACCAGGGAUUGCUCCUGGCCUGGACCAUUCGUAGUCUUUCUUUGGAAUCAGCUAAACCCAUUGGGCAGGUCAGGAGUGCAGAACACUCCAGAUAAAGGCAAUGCUGAUGAUAGAGAAGGAGUGACAAAG